GGAUUAGAUACCCUGGUAGUCCAUGCUGUAAACGAUGUACACUAGGUGUUGUUAUGCUCAACCGUAACAGUGCCGUAGCUAACGCGUUAAGUGUACCGCCUGAAUAGUACGCCCGCAAGGGUGAAACUCAAAAGAAUUGACGGGGACCCGCACAAUCAGUGGAGCAUGGGGUUUAAUUCGAUGAUACGCGAAGAACCUUACCCACUCUUGACAUGUCCAUCGCGACUUUGUGAGAGCAGAGUUUUCGGUUCGGCCGGAUGGAACACAGGUGCUGCAUGGCUGUCGUCAGCUCGUGCCG
rnacentral:rRNA from 1 species